UUUGACCUCGAAUCAGGUA
rnacentral:rRNA from 1 species